AACAGGAUUAGAUACCCUGGUAGUCCACGCCGUAAACGAUGUCUACUUGGAGGUUGUGCCCUUGAGGCGUGGCUUCCGGAGCUAACGCGUUAAGUAGACCGCCUGGGGAGUACGGCCGCAAGGUUAAAACUCAAAUGAAUUGACGGGGGCCCGCACAAGCGGUGGAGCAUGUGGUUUAAUUCGAUGCAACGCGAAGAACCUUACCUGGUCUUGACAUCCACAGAAGAAUCCAGAGAUGGAUUUGUGCCUUCGGGAACUGUGAGACAGGUGCUGCAUGGCUGUCGUCAGCUCGUGUUGUGAAAUGUUGGGUUAAGUCCCGCAACGAGCGCAACCCUUAUCCUUUGUUGCCAGCGGUCCGGCCGGGAACUCAAAGGAGACUGCCAGUGAUAAACUGGAGGAAGGUGGGGAUGACGUCAAGUCAUCAUGGCCCUUACGACCAGGGCUACACACGUGCUACAAUGGCGCAUACAAAGAGAAGCGACCUCGCGAGAGCAAGCGGACCUCAUAAAGUGCGUCGUAGUCCGGAUUGGAGUCUGCAACUCGACUCCAUGAAGUCGGAAUCGCUAGUAAUCGUGGAUCAGAAUGCCACGGUGAAUACGUUCCCGGGCC
rnacentral:rRNA from 1 species